UACGUAGGGGGCAAGCGCUAUCCGGAAUUACUGGGUGUAAAGGGUGAGUAGGCGGCAUGGUAAGCCAGAUGUGAAAGCCUUGGGCUUAACCCGAGGAUUGCAUUUGGAACUAUCAAGCUAGAGUACAGGAGAGGAAAGCGGAAUUCCUAGUGUAGCGGUGAAAUGCGUAGAUAUUAGGAAGAACACCAGUGGCGAAGGCGGCUUUCUGGACUGAAACUGACGCUGAGGCACGAAAGCGUGGGGAGCGAACAGG
rnacentral:rRNA from 1 species